UACGGAGGGUGCAAGCGUUAAUCGGAAUUACUGGGCGUAAAGCGCACGCAGGCGGUCUGUCAAGUCGGGUGUGAAAUCCCCGGGCUCAACCUGGGAACUGCAUUCGAAACUGUCAGGCUAGAGUCUGGGAGAGGGGGGUAGAAUUCCAGGUGUAGCGGUGAAAUGCGUAGAGAUUUGGAGGAAUACCGGUGGCGAAGGCGGCCCCCUGGACAGAUACUGACGCUCAGGUGCGAAAGCGUGGGGAGCAAACAGG
rnacentral:misc_RNA from 1 species